rnacentral:tRNA from 1 species
UGGUGUAGCGGUUAGCACUCGGAACUCUGAAUCCUGCGGCGGGAGUUCAAAUCUUUC